CAAGGAGCAUGUCCAUGCUAAGUGUGGUCAGUCAGAAUCUGUCAAAUCAUUCUUAGACGAUGAUGAAUACGAUCUGAACAAUUAGCAAUGAUUUGUUUGCAGUUUUAAUAAGAAUAAAAGUGCGAGCAAUGGGUCGCAAUGACAAUUUUCUUUAUAAGGACAGCGACAUAAAGAGCACGUUUCUCGUAACCUCGUUUUGAUCUUAAUUUGAACGCAGUAGAAUUUUCAGUAAUAAGGGAAGUAUUAAGUAAUAAACGAGGUUCUUUAUGACACUGAUAAAAAUGGUUUCGACGUGGCAUCAGCAAGUGUUUGCUCUCGAUGCCAAAUAUAAUUCACAGCGUGCAGUGAAUAGCCCUGGAUUUGCAACUUUGUACAUACGUCGAAGAAGUCAGCUGCUGCGAGAAAAGUUGUCCAGGAACUCUGAACUUAGAACACAAUAUUUGAAGCUACGCUCGGAAUUACUCCGGCGUCGAUAUGGAGGAAAUGCAGAACAAAGUAGCCUUAGUAGUCGUAUAACCUGUGACGAGAGUAUAGAAACGGGUUCGAGUUCACAAGUUAUACCUCGAAAAUCACCCAUGGAGAGUAUUGCCUUUGCCGAAGUACAUCAUGUAUUCGACCAGCAUACCGCAGCAGUGACGAUGCUGAGAUUUGCUAACAACGACAGAUCUAGACUAUGUUGUGCAUCCUUCGAUGGAUAUAUAUCAAUAUGCGAUGCAACCAGUUCUCCUCCAUCUGUAUUGACACUUCUAGGCGGCCAUCGAAAAGGUGUUACAGCCAUAGACUGGAGUACAAGCAAUGACUUGAUUGUAUCGGCGUCUUUAGAUGGGACGGUUCGUCUCUGGAAUACCCAUUCCAAUCCUGGACCAAACUGCCUCAGGGUUGUAGAAGACCAAUUUCAUGCCGAGGUGCUUUGCUGUGCCUUUGUUCCCAUGAACAAUAAUCUAGUAGUUACUGGCAGUUCGCAGGGAUUACUGCAAGUACUGAACAUAUCUACAGGAAUAUAUCCACGUGGCGGGUCUUCAAAAAUUGGUGGAAAGAUUCUAUGUUUAACAUGCGAGGAAAGUGGAGGUUCUUUGAUAUGGGCUGGUAACGACAAAGGGAACAUUCUUUCCUUUCGUCUGGAUUCGAUUUCAGGACGACUGUCAAAACUUAAGAGGGUGGAUAUAAGUUUGGGAGCCAUAACAUGCCUUUCAUGGCGAUCCUGGAUGUCAAAAGAAGCUCCUUGGCCAACUGUUCUCGUCAGUAGCGCCAGUAAUUUCGUUUUUCUAUAUCGUGUCUCCAAUGGCCAAGGUGCUUUGUCACUUUGGAAGAAGUAUCCAGUCCGACACAGGCAAUAUUUAAUUCGUUCCGCAUUUUGUCCUCAAAUGGGAACAUAUCUAAUAGCUUCAGGCUCAGAGGAUGGAUCGGUUCACCUGUUGGACACCUCUCGAGAAGGCAAAGCAGCCCGAGUGAACAGACUUCAUGGACAUGCAGCUCCAAUACUGGCUAUCUCUUUUAAUUAUGACGAGUCUCUCUUGGUGACAGGUGAUCAUCAAGGUCUUGUCAUCCUAUGGCGUAACAGGCAGCGUAAUAUCUAAGAAACAGUUUCCAUAUAAAGACCUGAAAUUCUGUCAAUUGUGCAAUGUGGUAAAGAAAUACAAUGUGGUUAUGGUGAUGACGGCACGGACUAUGGUUGCUCUGCUUUAGAAUUAGACUUUUCCAACAAAGCGACCUUGUAAAGGGACGUGGCGGUGUACCAGUCGGAUGAAUGAAUUGUUGCUCGGUGAUAAUGUACCUAGGAUGAUAACACCUGACAACUGCUCGAGUUCUCGAGUCGAGUCCAACUAAUUCCGCCGGAAAUCGACAAUAGAAAUCAGUCUGACAUUAUUCGCACGAUAAUACCGCUCGUCGAAAGAGUUACCGGAGGGAACAGUUGCUCAAGCUCGGAGGUUCUUUCGCAAGGCGAUCGUUUUUUCGAAAUCCGGAACGAGCCGAAGUUGUCCUGGAAAUGGGGAAAUAAGGCCAGAAAUUACGAAGAAGGGAGAUCAUAAUUCACGUAGUGUACUGAGUCGAGUAUUCAUAAACGCUUCGAAUAUGUCAACAGAACUAAUCCGAUGAAGUUGCAGGCGAGAAUCAACCGGUUGAAUUGCAAUUAGGACCUAGUUGUAAAAAUUCGUCUCAAGAGUUUCAACCCUCAUCACAGAUCCGUUUCGUUUCGUGAAUCAACCCGCCGGAACGUCGAAAUUAAUUCCGUCCAACCUCUAUCACAGGGUUGUGUCGUGCCUCGAGGCGUCAUCGCAACGGGUUAGCCUAAAGGGGGAAUAAAAUACAGAAAAGAAGAGGAAGAACAAAGCGUCCUUGCUCGCGAGAUACGUAAUACUCGUGUAAAAUAGAGAGCUUCUUUUCGACAGAGGGGCCCGGUCGAGCCCUCGAUAAGACAAAACGGAUAAAAACGAUCAGUUUCGCGGAAAGACUUCCGCGACUUUCUCCCAUAGAGUCCGUCCAGACGACGCAAAUCACCGGACACCGAUUGAUAUAUAAAAUAAAUUACUAACGCAGA